rnacentral:lncRNA from 1 species
GACAAGGUUUAUAAAGUUAAGGGUUUUUUUCUAGAUAGAUAAAAAUAAAAGUAUAUUUAUGAUAGCUUUUCAUAAAUCAACAAUAAAUCAAACUCCAAUGGAAGAUGAUAUGCCCGAGCGCUCCACAGGUACACGAGCCAGACCAUGGCACAACCCAACCCUAUUUAUUGUUUCUUCUAUUUUUUAAUCUAUACCUACGUCAAGGCGCAUCUGGCCUUGUAUGGAUUAGGCUCCUUGGCACAAGCCAGGCAUGUUGCCAGUGCCAGUUGCCAGCCCUAACAAGUCCAUAGUUUAUCACGAGAAUGUUCAAU